rnacentral:lncRNA from 1 species
AUCUUGAAAACGGAAAAUAAAAACAGCAGACCUAUGAAGGUCGAAGGGGAAGAAAAGCUGUAUCGAUUGUUGAGAUCUGGCGACUUGUUUAAAUUUCAUCAGCCUCACUUCUAUGAACUCUCAGAGCUGAUUACCAACUCCUACCACUGUUAACCCUCAUCCAGGAAAAAGCUUAUGUCUUUAACAUUCUGAGUGGGCUUCAGCAUCCUUGCAUAUGUUCAAUUCUUAAAAACCUGUUGAAAUAAAAGAUCAGGAGACAUAGGAAGGAUGCCAGAAGAGAGCGUGGCCUCAUGUGUACCAGCUCUCUGCUCUCCUUUGCCUUGGGACGUUCCAUCCCUGGAAGUUUCCCUGCCCACAUCUUUGUAGAGAGUCCAUUCUCCAAGCUUCAGUGUGUCAUCUGUGAGGACUGUGACCAACCUGGUACAUCGCCUCAGGGCAUUCAUUUCAGGCUCCUUCUAAAUGGUCAAGGAUCUUGGAAGCAGAGGGAUCUGCAGAAGUGCUUGCAACACUUUCAGCCUCAACCAGCAUCAGAGACAAAAAUCCUUUCUGGAAUGAGGUAAACCUCAGGUUCUCCUCCUGCCUUUUGCUAAGUAUAUGUCUUGAUGACAAGCCUUCUGCUGAUGAGCUGUGUUUCUGGACCGAUCAUGGUAGAAGUCAAUUAACGUGUCCCUCACUUGGGGUUUCUCAAGGCUGCACUGAUGAGGAAACUGAAACAGAAAAUCCAGAGUAAAUUCCACCAGGCCACACAGCAAGGUCUGAUAGAGCCAGGAGAGACUUUAUGAAAUCCAGACUCUCACACUAAUGCUCUAUCAGCUAGA